CUUCCUUGGUGAGCGGUUUUGGCGUAUUUUGUGAAAUUGAAGACGCAGCGGGAUUAGAGCGGGAAAUCCUACAGGUCAGGUGAAUCGAGAAGGUGAUCAGGCUGCUUAGAGUAGUGGGAUUGAGGUUACAGCUUUAUUGUGAGGUUGUUAUGCUCAUUGAGCUUGCAUUUAAAUUUGGAGAGAGUGUGUUGUAAUAUUUAGUAACUUGAGGAUUUGUUUUAUUGUUUUAUUGUGAGGUGUGAAGAGUAGUUGUUUUGAGAAAAAAAUUUAGGACGUUUAUUUGUAAUAGUAAUUAUUCAUGUUUC